rnacentral:lncRNA from 1 species
AUGCUGGACUGCAGUGCUGUAUCCAGCAGUGGUGUAGGUGCGGCGUGCACACACAUGCCAGACUGCAGUGCUGCAUCCAGCAGUGCUCUAGGUGCGGCAUGCACACACAUGCCGGACUUCAAUGCUGUAUCCUGUAGAUGCGGCAUGCACACGUAUGCUGGACUGCAGUGCUGUAUCCAGCAGUACUAUAGAUGCGGCGUGCACACAUCCAUGCCAGACUGCAGUGCUGUAUCCAGCGUUGCUGUAGAUGCGGCGUGCACACGCAUGCCAGACUGCAGUGCUGUAUCCAGCAGUGGUGUAGGUGCGGCGUGCACACGCAUGCUGGACUGCAGUGCUGUAUCCAGCAGUGCUGUAGGUGUGGCGUGCACACACAUGCCAGACUGCAGUGCUGCAUCCGGCGGUGCUGUAGGUGCGGCGUGCACACACAUGCCAGACUGCAGUGCUGUAUCCAGCAGUGCUGUAGGUGUGGCGUGCACACACAUGCCAGACUGCAGUGCUGCAUCCGGCGGUGCUGUAGGUGCGGCGUGCACACACAUGCCAGACUGCAGUGCUGUAUCCAGCAGUGCUGUAGGUGUGGCGUGCACACACAUGCUGGACUGCAGUGCUGUAUCCGGCGGUGCUGUAGGUGCGGCGUGCACACACAUGCCGGACUGCAGUGCUGCAUCCAGCAGUGCUGUAGGUGCGGCAUGCACACACAUGCCGGACUUCAAUGCUGUAUCCUGUAGAUGCGGCGUGCACACGUAUGCUGGACUGCAGUGCUGUAUCCAGCAGUACUAUAGAUGCGGCGUGCACACACAUGCCGGACUGCAGUGCUGCAUCCGGCGGUGCUGUAGGUGUGGUGUGCACAUCCAUGCCGGACUGCAGUGCUGUAUCCAGCGUUGCUGUAGAUGCGGCGUGCACACGCAUGCCGGACUGCAGUGCUGUAUCCAGCAGUGCUGUAGGUGCGGCGUGCACACGCAUGCUGGACUGCAGUGCUGUAUCCAGCAGUGCUGUAGGUGUGGCGUGCACACACAUGCCAGACUGCAGUGCUGCAUCCGGCGGUGCUGUAGGUGCGGCGUGCACACACAUGCCAGACUGCAGUGCUGCAUCCGGCGGUGCUGUAGGUGCGGCGUGCACACACAUGCCGGACUGCAGUGCUGUAUUCAGCAGUGCUGUAGGUGUGGCGUGCACACGCAUGCUGGAUGA